rnacentral:rRNA from 1 species
AUGGAGCAGGCGAGGAGGAAGAGUUCACGGUCAUGGACGGCGGCCGUGGCCCUGGUGUCACUCUUUGCCGUAGUCGCCGUUGCCGCGGCGGGGGCGCCGGUGCCGAGGAGGAUCCUGGUGGACACGGACAUGGACACCGAGGACCUCUUCGCGCUGCUCUACGUCCUCAAGCAGGACCGGUCCAAGUUCGACGUCAAGGCCAUUACCAUCAACGCCAACGCAUGGAUCGACGCCGGCCACGGGAUCAACCAGCUCUACGACAUCCUCUACAUGAUGGGCCGCGACGACAUCGCCGUCGGCGUGGGCGGCGACGGAGGCAUAUCGGACGCCGGCGAGAUACACCCCGACGUCGGCGGCUACCUCCCUCUCAUAGACCAGGUACUACUAACAACAUGA